rnacentral:rRNA from 1 species
UGGGGAAUUUUCCGCAAUGGGCGAAAGCCUGACGGAGCAAUGCCGCGUGGAGGAGGAAGGCCUACGGGUCGUCAACUUCUUUUCUCGGAGAAGAAACAAUGACGGUAUCUGAGGAAUAAGCAUCGGCUAACUCUGUGCUAG